rnacentral:rRNA from 1 species
CGCGGCCUAUCAGCUUGUUGGUGAGGUAAUGGCUCACCAAGGCGACGACGGGUAGCCGGCCUGAGAGGGCGACCGGCCACACUGGGACUGAGACACGGCCCAGACUCCUACGGGAGGCAGCAGUGGGGAAUAUUGCACAAUGGGCGAAAGCCUGAUGCAGCGACGCCGCGUGAGGGAUGACGGCCUUCGGGUUGUAAACCUCUUUCAGCAGGGAAGAAGCGAAAGUGACGGUACCUGCAGAAGAAGCGCCGGCUAACUACGCGCCAGCAGCCGCGGUAAUACGUAGGGCGCAAGCGUUGUCCGGAAUUAUUGGGCGUAAAGAGCUCGUAGGCGGUCUGUCGCGCCGGAUGUGAAAGCCCGGGGCUUAACCCCGGGUCUGCAUUCGAUACGGGCAGACUAGAGUGUGGUAGGGGAGAUCGGAAUUCCUGGUGUAGCGGUGAAAUGCGCAGAUAUCAGGAGGAACACCGGUGGCGAAGGCGGAUCUCUGGGCCAUUACUGACGCUGAGGAGCGAAAGCGUGGGGAGCGAACAGGAUUAGAUACCCUGGUAGUCCACGCCGUAAACGGUGGGAACUAGGUGUUGGCGACAUUCCACGUCGUCGGUGCCGCAGCUAACGCAUUAA